ACCUAAACUAUAAACGAAAAAACAUUCAAGAACACCAUAACACUCGUGUGAGAAUAAUACUCCACUUUAUUCUGAUGAACAAACACCUUGAUAUUACUCCACAAUGUCCUCCUUGGGAUCGCCAUCAUAUAAUUCAUACAAGAGAAAAACAUAGGUAAGAAGGGGUGAGAUAUGGUGCAUGUGAUUUAAAGUAGUAUAUCAAUAUAAAUCGAUGGACAUAAACGCACAAUGAUACAUUAAGAACACAAAACCAUCUAAGGUUUGGAUAUAACAAUAUAAGGGAAGUAUAUCAAAUGCAGUGUUCUUACACUUAUACUCCUUAUGCAUGUUGUGCCAAUAACUUAUACUUAAUAAAGUAAACUCAGAAGAAAUGAUAAGUCAAAUAAUAAGAACACUUCUCUAGUUGAAUUUCAUUACAACAAACUAUCUUUUGUGCAGUAUUGGUAGGUGUCUCGCUAGGGUUGUCUAGCUUCAUAAGUACACCCCAUAAAUAGUGGGCUCAACAUACACCAUGGAACCUAAUCAAUUCAAUGAAAUUAAGACAUUGACUUGAAUGUCUAAUAACCUAUAUGUGAUGCAUGUCUCACAAAAUAAAAUAAAAACAAAUAUCAUCCUUUAAUUAUCAACAUCUUAAGCUUGAAGGAAGUAUUUCAAUUAGGGAAUCCUUAGUAACAAAAUCCAAACUGUUUGUUAGCCUACUUUACCAAAUAUAUCUCACUUUGAGCUAAGCCACGAUAUAACCUUGAAAAUACCUCUAUAUGUGUGUGUGGUAAUAUUGACUUUGAAUGAACGUUUAUAAUUUCUUCAAAUUCAACACAAGGUACAAUCACAUGAUGAUCGGAAUGUGGAAAACGCUUUGACCAAUCCAUUUGGCUUU
rnacentral:lncRNA from 1 species